CAGAGGUGGCAAGCGUUGUUCGGAAUUACUGGGCGUAAAGGGCGCGUAGGUGGCCUUCUUAGUCAGACGUGAAAUCUCCGGGCUUAACUCGGGAACUGCGUCUGAUACUGGAAGGCUCGAGUUCGGGAGAGGAAUGUGGAAUUCCAGGUGUAGCGGUGAAAUGCGUAGAUAUCUGGAGGAACACCGGUGGCGAAGGCGGCAUUCUGGACCGAAACUGACACUGAUGCGCGAAAGCCAGGGGAGCAAACGGGAUUAGAUACCCCGGUAGUCCUGGCCCUAAACGAUGAGUGCUUGGUGUGGCGGGUAUCGAUCCCUGCCGUGCCGAAGCUAACGCAUUAAGCACUCCGCCUGGGGAGUACGGUCGCAAGGCUG
rnacentral:rRNA from 1 species